AAGUCAUUUAAUGAAGAUCAAUCCGACAUAUAUCGGAAGAUAAAUACGAAACUUGAUCUGCUUACUGAAAACAAUGAACUAUUAAAAAAACAACUUAAAGAAAAUAAUGAUAUUUUUAAAAAACAGCUAAAUGAAAUUCGAAAUCAAAAUGCAUUGAUUCUAGAUGCCCUAAGUGAAAAUAACGUUGCAUUAAAAGAUUUCUUAAAAGAUAGAAAUCCAAAAUACAUAAAAACUUUUCCAAUAAAUAGAAUCGAAGAGUUGAAUGACUUUGAGCGAAAUAUUAACGAGAGCAACGAAAAGGAAUAUAUUUCAUCUAUAAGAGCAAUAGCCGGACAAAGAGGACUAAAAAAAGGCCUUACAGACAUUUUGUCUCACAAAUUGUUGGUUGACUUUAAUGUGGAAGGAAGUCAUAAUAAACAGAGACUUCUAAAUUACCCAAAAUUUGUUAAUAUACU